rnacentral:lncRNA from 1 species
CUCUAUAACCUCAUUCACAUUCUAGAAUGAGAAAUCCACAAUUGAAAAGGUUGUUCUUUUUUGUUCACUGAUAUAUUCCAGUUGUGUAAAUAGUACCCAACAUACAGGAGGCACCUGCUAAGAGCCAAGUGUAUGAUGCAUGGCAUUUUUGGUUGAAAGGUGACGCCAGCUAGCCAUUGAGAUGAUAUGAUUAUGUUAAGAUUUGCAUUCAUAUGGAUAUUGGACUCCUGCUGUUCACCUCAGCCUGCUACGGGACUCCUGGAGAGUUCCCAUUGGUUGGGGAAGUACAGUAGGAGGGAGUUCCGGGGGAGGAACUUCCUCUGGACGUGCCAGGAGAACGCCGCGUGUGUGGAUCGGAUCUUCCCGGGGGCGUACAGAACAUUGGCAGCAGUUUCAAAAAAUAAAGUUUGUUCCUGCUUGAGUGGCUCGUGAUUUUGUGCCCAGCCAGACUGCGGCAUUUGGCGGCCCGUACGGGGAACGCCUGAAGCUUGGAGGUGAGUAAAAUUGCUCGCCCCUGAGGGAAGGCGACACAAUGAGUGACCAUUUCAAAAAACAAUGUGUUCUUGUUUUGAUUUAUCUUGUUUUUGUUUCAAGCUGCCUAUCCCUAGAAUUUUCUCAGGCAAACUGGGAAAAAUGGUUGGCUCAAGGUUUGAAGUUGUUCGGCCCUGAGAAAGAGAAAAUUGAUACAACUAUUCUUUGUUCCGUUUUUGUUUCAUUCUGUUUCGGUUUUGUUUUAUGCUAUCUUAUUGGGUUGCGUUACCUUUAUAGUAGAUUAGAAACUAGUAAAAAACAAACCGAAAGACUGUUAAGUAAAUUGUUAGAGGUCCAGACUAUGGUAGAAAACAUGUUAGGUCAAGCAAAAGAGAAGGUCUCUCGAGCUAGUCAGACAGAGGAAAAUUUGAAGAAAGAAAGCU